AUUGAACGCUGGCGGCAUGCCUUACACAUGCAAGUCGAACGGCAGCACGGGUGCUUGCACCUGGUGGCGAGUGGCGAACGGGUGAGUAAUACAUCGGAACGUACCUUAUCGUGGGGGAUAACAACUUGAAAAAUUUGCUAAUACCGCAUAAUACUCUGAGGAGGAAAGCGGGGGAUUCGUAACAAACUAGUGCGAUUAGAGCGGCAGAUGGCGGAAUAGCUAGUUGGUGAGGUAAAGGCCAACCAAGGCAACGGUCAGUAGCAGGUCUGAGAGGAUAAUCUGCAACACUGGAACUGAGAAACGGUCCAGACUGCUACGGGAGGAAGCAGUGGGGGAUUUUGGACAAUGGGGGCAACCCUGAUCCAGCAAUGCCGCGUGAGUGAAGAAGGCCUUCGGGUUGUAAAGCUCUUUUGUCAGUGAAGAAAACUUUAAUAAUAACACUAUUAAAGCAUGACGGUAACUGAAGAAUAAGGACCGGCUAACUACGUGCCAGCAGCCGCCGUAA
rnacentral:rRNA from 1 species